CCAAUCGCGUAUAUUAAUGUUGUUGCAGUUAAAACGCUCGUAGUUGAACUUCGGGGUUUACCCAUUGGUCAGGCUUAAUUGUCUGCACUGGUGAGAUGAAUCUCUACCUUCUGAGGAACUUUCAUGCCAUUUAUUUGGUGUGAUGGGAAAUCAGGACUGUUACUUUGAAAAAAUUAGAGUGUUUAAAGCAGGCUAACGUCUGAAUACAUUAGCAUGGAAUAAUGAAAUAGGACGGACUGAUUCUAUUUCGUUGGUUUCUAGGAUCACCGUAAUGAUUAAUAGGGAUAGUUGGGGGCAUUAGUAUUCAAUUGUCAGAGGUGAAAUUCUUGGAUUUAUUGAAGACUAACUACUGCGAAAGCAUUUGCCAAGGAUGUUUUCAUUAAUCAAGAACGAAAGUUAGGGGAUCGAAGACGAUCAGAUACCGUCGUAGUCUUAACCAUAAACUAUGCCGACUAGGGAUCGGAUGAUGUUAAUUUUUUAAUGACUCAUUCGGCGCCUUACG
rnacentral:rRNA from 1 species